GUUAGUUAACUGGCUAAGUUAGCUAGGUUAUGUGUGUGUUAGUUAACUGGCUAAGUUAGCUAGGUUAUGUGUGUGUUAGUUAACUGGCUAAGUUAGCUAGGUUAUGUGUGUGUUAGUUAACUGGCUAAGUUAGCUAGGUUAUGUGUGUGUUAGUUAACUGGCUAAGUUAGCUAGGUUAUGUGUGUGUUAGUUAACUGGCUAAGUUAACUAGGUUAUGUGUGUGUUAGUUAGCUAGUUUAAAUGUGUGUUAGUUAGCUAGGUUAUGUGUGUGUUAGUUAACUGGCUAAGUUAACUAGGUUAUGUGUGUGUUAGUUAACUGGCUACGUUAGCUAGGUUAUGUGUGUGUUAGUUAACUGGCUAAGUUAGCUAGGUUAUGUGUGUGUUAGUUAACUGGCUAAGUUAACUAGGUUAUGUGUGUGUUAGUUAACUGGCUAAGUUAACUAGGUUAUGUGUGUGUUAGUUAACUGGCUAAGUUAGCUAGGUUAUGUGUGUGUUAGUUAACUGGCUAAGUUAACUAGGUUAUGUGUGUGUUAGUUA